rnacentral:lncRNA from 1 species
UAGAAAGAGGGAAAUAUAUUGUUACAGGAGAUAGAAAGAAAUUAUUUGGGUAGACAGGGCAAAGGGAGUCCUUGGCAGAAAACUUUCCUUCAAACUAAAAGCAGCUCUGAAGUAGCUUUCUUUCUAACCUCAUGCAGUUCAAAGAAAUCACUUCUCUUCUAACAAAGAGCAACCUGAAAGAUCAGGCUGUAAAAACACAGAUAAACAACUGGGGCACAGAAGGAGGUGGGGGAGUCUCCCAGUUAAUCACGAAACUACAUACUCAUAAAAUGGGCCCCAGUAAAAACACUGGGACUUAAUAAGCACAUUUCUUUCCCUACAGGCACACUAAGAUAUGGAAGCUAAAAGAGGACUAAGAGGAUUCUGGGGAUAUUACAAGAUAUUGCAGACUAUCUUGUUUUCCUGGAAAAGGAUUUUACCUCAGUCGACUGAAUUACUUUUUUCACUGUGUCUUGCCACUCUUCGUGCAUGCAUCAAAGACCCUAAUAUGACUUCUGGUGGCCUGGGACUCCUUGGGAAAACAGAAAAGGGGCCACAAAUCCCAUUUUGGGAACAAUCUGUUUUACUCAUGGAACCCCUGGAAUUAGAGGUGUGUAAGUACCUCUCAAAAUCUGUCUUUGUCUUCUGGCUAUGCUUUUUAUGAGGCCCUGGAAUUUGUAGUCCUAGCCCUGUUCUUAGAGUGUCUCACUAGGAGGCGUAAUAAUCCAAUUAGGAAACUAGCCAAUGAAAAAUCUCAUAACUACUGGAUCUUCUUCUGUUUAUCUGUGUGGUUACAUAUGUGUUAUGUGUGUAAUAUCUAUUAAAAAGGGCUCUAAUUAAUUGGCCUAAGAACAGUAAGCACUUAAAUAAAAUAUUUUUAAGGGAAAAGUAAAAGCUGUGUUACUUUUCAGUUCACAUGACUUUAAUCUUUACAAAUAAAAAGUCCUAGAAAUUAUUGGUAAAAUACAAAUGUCUUCAAGGUGUAAAAAUGUGGUCUAAAUUAUGCAGGCCAGAUACUAGGUUUGCUAAAUGUUUUAAGGUUGUAAACUCUUCUUUGGCCUUUAAAAACUGUCAACUCACCUGCCUCACAAUUGGUAAGGCCUGGGAACAUAGGGAAGUUACCAUGCCCGUAACUAUCCUAAAAGGAGUCAAACUUUAUCUGCAUCUAGCACAUAAUUAAAACAACCUAUCAGAUUUCACAGUAAAGUUGAAAAUUUCUAAGAGUUACCAUUAUGACAUGUAAUUGAAAUUACUAAAAAGAAAUCUACCUGCAAGGUGUAUAAAAAACAGUAAAAUGUGUUUUUAUUUAAAGAUUAUAAGAAAGCAUGGAAAUAUACAUUUUAUCUAGAAAUAAAGGAUUGUCUUUUUAAAGUAGAAAGUUUAAGCAAAUUGUGAAAAGACUGUAAAAAUUAAUCUUUCAAAGGAAACUCUGUGUGUGAACAUAUUAACUAAAUACAAAAGGGUAUUAUACUUUUUUUUCUGUAAACACUAUAAUAAAAGCAGAACAAGGUUUUCUUAAGAUGCCAAUCCACUCUUUAGCAAAAUUUGUAGAGGUUAAUAAAAGGUUUGUGAAAAUCUCACUUCAUAGUCAAACUGGUUAAGAUUAUGUAGGAUUGUCUACAAGGUUUCAUUAAAAAUUAGAGUUAAUUUUAAUAGCAAACUAAUGCAUGGGUAAAAUUUAACUUUCUCUCUUGAAUGGGAUUUUCAUGUAAUUAAAAAUGCUGAUGAAUGGUUUUUGCUUUUUCAGAUUUUUGUCUCAUCAUUUUGGCAAAACAAAUAACUUAUGGUAAUCUAAAAUUCUACUUCAUAAUAUCAAGUGUUUUAAAUUCUGAACAUAUUUAACAGGCUUCCUAAAAUCAAACUUUAGUCUCAGGGUUGUCUUUCCUGACCCCUAGCUUUUGGGUGCUGCAGAGCACCCCUGGAGCAUCUGGAAAAGAGGUAAACAGGAUUAUUUAACAUGUUUAGGCACAUGGAAUUGCCAAAAUGAUGUUUAAUACUCUUCAGGUUAUAUUCUAGGGAAUAAUAUCAACAUAUGUUCCAAAAUGGUCUGGGCUGUCUAAGGUUCUAUUGUCUGAAUAUGUGCUAUUAAUCACAAUUAAGGUUAUUAUGUUGGGUUAUUGUAAGCCAUGGAAAUAACCAAAUUUGUCAAUCAUGUUCUUGACUGUAACCACCCUGAACAUUUUGUCAUUUAUAGACAUUUGUCUUGUUUUAAUUGUCUUCAAAAGAUGGUUUAUAAUCAAGCUGUGGAACUUUAACAGGUGCUCUUCAAUGCAGGUUUCUGAUAACAGAAAAAUGUACAGGACUCAUAAAAAGCUAAAAUGUUUAGGAAUAUCAAGCAGAACAAGAGUUAACAGAAUGGAAUGAACUAAUAGAAAAUUAAAGCAAUAUUCUUAAUUUAUGCUUGGAACACUGCUGAUUAUUAUUUUGUUUUUCAAAGUCAAGGAAACUUUCUUAAAGGCUUUUAACAACUAAACAAGUUAUACUCCUGUGAACGAUAUUUAAAACGUGUUU